rnacentral:misc_RNA from 1 species
GCGGGAGAUCCAGACCAAAUUAGGGUUUCGUCAAUCCUCUGAGAUGGGAGUCUUCACCUUCGUCUGUCGGAGCUCCGGCGAUGAGUGGACCGCCAAGCCCCUUUCCGGCGACAUCGAGGCGUCGGCUGCGUCCACGUACGAUCUGCAGCGCAAGCUCGUCCAGGCCGCCCUCUCCAAAGACUCCUCCGGCGGCGUCUCCUCUUCCUUUUCCCUCGUCACCCCCUCCUCCGCCGUGUUCCAGGUGAUCAUUGGUGGCGGUGGUGGUGGUGGAGG